GUAACUGAAGCUGACCACAGAUCGCUGGCCAUCAGGAGGAGUGAGAGGGCGGCCGACUCUUCUAGAGAAGAGGGAUGAGUGUAGAGGUGAGCUACAGCGCUUGGUGACUGAAGAACGCAUUGGGGACUUGUGGCGGUCCUUCCAGCAGCCGUCUGGCUCGUUAGCUGGGAGAGGAGCUCGACAGGACUGUCCUCAACUGGAAUCCUUUGAGCAAUCCCUUCGUCGCUCUCCCUGGCCUGAUCUGGGGCAGAUCUCACCUCCACAUAAAGAUGAAGAACUUUUCCAGACUGGGACAUGACCUCCCCUCAGCUCUUAAUGAGGACACAGAAACGGAGCGGAGAAAGACUCAGACAGGGUGAAAGAGAGGUCUUUCCCCCCCUCCCUGUUGGGUUGGAAUUAGGUUUUUCUGCCGCUGGUGGUUUAUUUUUAGACGGUCUUUCUUCUGCCUCCCAGAUCGUCUGCGUGUAAAGCAGAGACACAGAGCAAAAACAUGCCCAGGGGAUGCCGCCAACAGCUCCCAACUCCUCAUACCUGUGAAUGAAAGAGGAGACGGAAUUAAUAUGCCAAAUGAGUGUGAAAAGCUGGUAAAGGACAAGUGAAAACACUCACUUUUCUAAAAGAAGCCAAGUGUGGGAGUUUUGUCCAAAUGAGACGCAAAUAUUUCCAGCAUGCUACUCUCAACAAUGUUAAACAAAACUCAGAUAAAAGUCAUUCAGGUCCUCUCAGAUUGUCCAUAAAGUGAUCAUGUUUUAUAAAUCAGAGUGUUUUUUAUUUUCAAAUCUCCAAAAAAAGUUAACAUUUUUUGAUAAUUUUAUUAUCUUGGAGUUUUUUGACAAUAGUGAGAGCUUCAUUUGAGAGAAAUGAACCAAUCAUGAGACAUGGAGAUGCCAAAGAAACUAAACUAAACUAAAAAUAAAACAAAAACUUUAACAAGUUUUGGAACGGAUACCAGAUAGGAGGCUGAUGUUAAGCCACCUCAACUUUAUUGAAAAUGUGUGUGUCAACCAGUUUGGCUGUCCUCUACCAAUUCUGAUAAGUUUCCACACAGAAGCUUGUCGAUGGAUUCAAAAAAUAUUUAAUUUCCCUGCAACUUCCUGAGUUUAACAAAAUAUUAUAGGUGGUGUAUUUUAGCUUGAAGGUUCAGUUCUGAACAUAUGUGGAUCUCGGUAUUUCUGACCAGCAUCAUAAUAAAGUAUUUAAUUCUUUGCUGAGCUCA